rnacentral:lncRNA from 1 species
UAAUAUCUCACAUUCACUUUCUUUUUAUUUACUUUUAUUUUUUAUUUAUUUAUUUUUAUUUAUAAUUAUUAUUAUAGUAAUUAGGUUUUUAGUGUCUUUUGGGUUAGGUCCAAGACAACUUGAUAUUUACACCCUAACUCAAUCAUUUUUUACACUCCCUUUUAUUUAUUUAAUUAUUCAUUUUACUUAUUUAUUCAUUUUUAUUCUAUUUCUCUUAAUUAAUUAAUUUUAUCUAGAUUAAUAAUCAUUUGAUUUUUUU